GCUUAUCGACAUUCUGAAGAUGAAGAGACUGUUCAAACCGUUCUUCCAAAGAGCCUGAUGACUGCGAUCCGAUAUCGGCAGCCAUAUACCCAGAACAGUAUUAGUUACUUUGAAAAGAAUUCAAGAUAAAAAACCUUUUUUUUGUCAAACGAAUUGGAGAUUGCUGCUUAAGUAGUUUAUGAUUAAAAAAAUUAAGAUUCGGCUGAAACGAGUGAACUAAUUUGCAAAAGACAGACUUGGGAUGUUAG